rnacentral:rRNA from 1 species
GACGAACGCUGGCGGCGUGCUUAACACAUGCAAGUCGAACGGAAAGGCCCUGCUUUUGUGCGGUGCUCGAUUGGCGAACGGGUGCGUAACACGUGAGUAACCUACCCUUCACUUUGGGAUAACUUCAGGAAACUGGGGCUAAUACCGUAUAGGAGCUCCUGCUGCAUGGUGGGGGUUGGAAAUUUUCGGCUGUUGGGGAUGGACUCGCGGCUGAUCAGCUUGUUGGUUGGGUAGGGGCCCACCAAGGCUGUGAAGGGUAGCCGGCCCGUGAGGGUGACCGGGCUCAUUGGUACUGAGGGAGGCACCAGACUGAUACAGUAGACAGCAGUGGGGAAUAUGACACAAUCAGACGAAGCCUGAUAAAGAAACCUAGCGGUGGGGAUACCAAACUUUUGGAUGGGAAGGGCGUCAGCCUGGAACGAAGCUUUAGUGACGGUACUGAGUAAAUAAGCACCGGCUAACUACGUG